AGGGUGCAGAAAAUAUAUAUGGGAGAAGCAGGUAAUUUAAAUACAAUAGUGGGAAAUUUCUCACGGUAGCACUCAUAAUCUUUUGCUUUCAUGUCCCUUGAAGAAAUAGAAUCUGUGUUAACAGCUGUUUCCAUGUUUCUGACAAAAUUUUUUUUUGACCCUUUGUUACUUUAUGCUAAUACAUUAGUUCAGGGUUCUAGAGCCCAGGAAUGCCUAACAUUUUACUCCAAAUUUACUACAUGUUUAAACUUCCUCUCCUCUUCCUUGAAAUCCAUGGAAGUUUAAAUUCCAUAAUCUUUAGAAGUUUUUGUUUUGUUUAUGAGUAGCUGGAAAGAAUAACUUUUACAGGUUAUAUGUAAAUUUAAAAUGUCUUAGAAACUUUGCUUUGAAAGUUUUGCUUGUUAUGCUUGUUUUAAAAUCUCUGAAUACCCAGGAAGAGAGUUACAUGCAAAUUUAGACCCCAUUCACAAAACAAAGAAAGUAAAUUAAAGGGAGCAAAGAUUAGGUAGGAAAUUAAAGCUGGGGCAAGCCAGGUUAAACCAAUGGGGAUAAUCUGUCCUGAAACCAGAGCACAAGGGCAGAACACACUCCAGAUUGACUGCAGCUCCUGGGCUGUGUAAGUGGGAACAAUGGAAAAAGUGUCCAUUUGAAUUCUUCAUUUAUAACUGGUGCCAAACCAACUGAGUCAUUGAUAGGACAGUUUAUAUCUGGGGACCGGCCAAAGGAGCUUUUGAUAUGACAGCCAUCCCAAAUGCCUAUUUGCAUGAAGUGAGCAUAAAAGAGAGACUGUGAAUUCAACAGUCCAACCAGGUCUAUUGCUAAACUUAAGAACAGAGAAGGUAUCUCUUACAAGCCUUUUAAAGAGUGUUCUUCCUCAGGCUUUGAGGGAUUGGGUCAGAGAAAGGGCGGGCUGAGGUGUCUUCUGUUUCCUCUUUAACCCAAUGACAUGUUCGCAGGGAAUUUCUUCUAGUUUGCUGACAGGUCUUCUGUGACCUACCUAUGUGUUUUCUGUGACCUGAGUAGAAGGAGACCUACAGUUGUCCAAGAUGGCAACCAGACUCACUUGGACUGAUGCUCUUCCAUGGAGAAGCAAUCUAGGAUUUCCAGGUGUUGUCUACUUUCAGUCUCCAUGGGGAGGAACUUCUGGUAGGGGCACUUUUGUUUCUUCACUGAGAUAUGCAGCAGAGAAAUUUCCACCUGAAGGCUGAGGAAGAAGGUCAAGAGGACAAGGGUCAGUUAUGCUCAGAGAUUAAAGACUAUGCUCUUGUUUUAAUGGAGAACCAAUUUCAUGACUGACAAUAGCAAGAUGAGAGGCUGAGCGGAGCACCUUCCCUCUCUUUGGUGCCAUGAAACAGUACUGAACUGCAGAGAGUGCUGAACCUGGAAAAUUUGGAUCGUUUGAUUCGUAUCACCAGUGUAGUGAAGAUGGACCAGCUGAUCAACAUGUCCUAUGAAGAAAAAAUGGUGUUCAGUUUGGUUUCUUAUUAGUUAUUUUUAGCAUCAUUUUCCUUUUAAGAUUAUUUGUUUUGAUAAUAAUGUCAAAGAUCAAACAGAUAUAUACUAGAAUUU